rnacentral:rRNA from 1 species
CGGCGUAAAGAGUGGUUAUGGAAAUUUUUUAUAAAGUGGAAAACCCCUUAAACUGUUAUACGCACCCGGGGGUCAGAACCCCUCGCACGAAAGUAACUUUAUUAACGUCAACCAGAACCCACGAAAGCCAGGGUACAAACUGGGAUUAGAUACCCCACUAUGCCCGGCCGUAAACUUAGAUGCUUCUGUACAAUAAGCAUCCGCCAGGGAACUACGAGCACCAGCUUAAAACCCAAAGGACUUGGCGGUGCCUCAGACCCUCCUAGAGGAGCCUGUUCUAGAACCGAUAACCCCCGUUCAACCUCACCAUCCCUUGCCUUUUCCGCCUAUAUACCACCGUCGCCAGCUUACCCUGUGAAGGUGAAAGUAAGCAAAAUGGAGAACCUCCAGAACGUCAGGUCGAGGUGUAGCAUACGAGAUGGGAAGAAAUGGGCUACAUUGCCUAGCAUAGACUACUACGAAGAGUCGCCUGAAAGGGCUAUUUGAAGGUGGAUUUAGCAGUAAAAGGGGAAUAGAGUGCCCCUUUGAAGCCGGCUCUGAGGCGCGCACACACCGCCCGUCACUCUCCCCAACAAUCCUUCUUCUAGUAAUUAACCUUUUUUACCCAACAAGGGGAGGCAAGUCGUAACAUGGUAAGUGUACCGG